rnacentral:rRNA from 1 species
CCUACGGGUGGCAGCAGUGGGGAAUAUUGCACAAUGGGGGAAACCCUGAUGCAGCGACGCCGCGUGAGUGAGGAAGUCUUUCGGUAUGUAAAGCUCUAUCAGCAGGGAAGAAAAUGACGGUACCUGACUAAGAAGCCCCGGCUAACUACGUGCCAGCAGCCGCGGUAAUACGUAGGGGGCAAGCGUUAUCCGGAUUUACUGGGUGUAAAGGGAGCGUAGACGGCGAAUAAAGUCAGAAGUGAAAACCCAGGGCUCAACCUUGGGACUGCUUUUGAAACUGAGUAGCUGGAGUGCAGGAGAGGUAAGCGGAAUUCCUAGUGUAGCGGUGAAAUGCGUAGAUAUUAGGAGGAACACCAGUGGAGAAGGCGGCUUACUGGACUGUAACUGACGUUGAGGCUCGAAAGCGUGGGGAGCAAACAGGAUUAGAUACCCCUGUAGUC